rfam:Actinobacteria bacterium RBG_16_67_10 RBG_16_scaffold_148141, whole genome shotgun sequence.
GCCCCCGUAGCUCAGUUGGAUAGAGCGCCGGCCUCCGGAGCCGGGUGCGCAGGUUCGAGUCCUGCCGGGGGUA